CCCCACUGCUAUCGGGAUGGGACUAAGACAUGCUAGUCGAGCGUCUCCAAGCUAUGGAAGAGACGCGGCACACAGCUCAGUAACACGUGGCUAACCUGCCCUUGGGACAAGGACAACUCCGGGAAACUGGGGCUAAUCCCUGAUAGGUGAGAACUCCUGGAAUGGAUUCUCGCUGAAAGGACGUUUAGACCAUGCUUCUAGGCGUCGCCCAAGGAGGGGGCCGCGACCGAUCAGGUUGUUGGUGAGGUAACGGCUCACCAAGCCUUUAACCGGUACGGGCCGUGAGAGCGGAAGCCCGGAGAUGGGCACUGAGACAAGGGCCCAGGCCCUACGGGGCGCAGCAGUCGCGAAAACUCCGCAAUACACGAAAGUGUGACGGGGCUAUCCCGAGUGCCAUCCGCUGAGGAUGGCUUUUCCCCAGUGUAUAAAGCUGGGGGAAUAAGGAGAGGGCAAGCCUGGUGUCAGCCGCCGCGGUAAUACCAGCUCUCCGAGUGGUGGGGAUGUUUAUUGGGCCUAAAGCAUUCGUAGCCUGCUUGGCAAGUCCCCCGUUAAAUCCAGCGAUUCAAUCGUUGGACUGCGGGGGAUACUGUCCGGCUUGGGGGCGGAAGAGGCCGACGGUAUUCUCGGGGUAGGGGUGAAAUCCUAUAAUCCCGGGAGGACCACCAGUGGCGAAGGCUGUCGGCUAGAACGCGCCCGACGGUGAGGGAUGAAAGCUGGGGGAGCGAACCGGAUUAGAUACCCGGGUAGUCCCAGCUGUAAACGAUGCAGGCUAGGUGUUGGCGCGGCUACGUGCCGCUCCAGUGCCGCAAGGAAGCCGUUAAGCCUGCCGCCUGGGAAGUACGGCCGCAAGGCUGAAACUUAAAGGAAUUGGCGGGGGAGCACCACAAGGGGUGAAGCUUGCGGUUU
rnacentral:rRNA from 1 species